GACCUGCCAGGAACCCCCCCCUCGUGGCUCUGUGGCCUUUGGUGUACGCGCCGUAGGCCAGGCGGCGCAGAAGCAGGGCAGGACGAUGGGAAUGGGAUGCAGGAGCGUCGCUGGCAUGCUCGGCCCCGAGCAGCAUCGCCGGUGCAGGUUUCCACUCACCCCAGGGCCCUGUAGCGCCAGAGGGGCCCGUACAGGUCACGUCACGCACAGGCCAGGACCGGGCUCCCUGGCAAGGAAGGAGGUGCCCCAAGACCAGAGACGCGGACACCCUCGCCUCGGGUCACCCGUGCGGGUGGCUGGCGGGACGUAGGCUGCUCGUACGGCGUCAGCUGCUUCUGGUGCGACGGAAGGAGUUGUCGCCUCGGAUCGCUCGUGGGGACAGAGACCGGUGCGUCUUCACUGAAGGUGCUCGCUGGAUUCCGCUUCUGGGCGCAACCAUGUCAAAAGUAGAGAAACACUGAAGAAAGUCGAGGAACCAUGUAAGAUGGGGCUGAAAGAAACCUUGAGAUAUCAUCCCCCCGAGAAGGACGAGAGCAACUUUAUCAAGAGGGAGAAGGAAAGAUUAAAACUUCAAUACAUAGAAACUGGAUAAACGAAGGAUAAUCAAGUUUGAGAGGAAGAAGCCCUUUUCAGAUAUCGGCCACCUGUUAUUGGAGCUGAGAGAGGAGGAACAUGUGGUUUGACAGAUAUGCUUCCCUGACGAGAAAAGUCAAGCUGUUUAGUGAAUGAAGAUUUCUUCGUUUUGCAAGAGCCGCAUGUUUAUGUUUGACUUGCUCCUCUGUUUCUGUGCAAGAAAAAGUCAAACUGGCCAGCUAGGAGAAAUGAAUCCCAAGCUCACUCAAGGAGCAGAUAAGUACCUCUGGUUUUGCUGGGUGCUGGUGAUACAGCAUACUUUCUGCUCUGUGUAGCAGAGUGGUGUUGGUGUUCCCUCAUCAGGGCCCCCCGUUGUUUUGAGCAUUUUGCUAACAGAUAGCAAAAGGCAGUCUGUGUUUGAAGUAUAGUCGGAGGAGAGCUGAAACGUGUGUGCAACAAAUAAGACAUUGGGGAAAGUAGGUCAGGGCUGGUCAUGAGAGAACCACUUGUUUAAACAAAUGUGCAGGAUUACUAGGUUUUGAACAAAUCAGUCCUGAGUGAAGCAUGUAACUCGGCUGGGAAGCUUUGUUUUAUCAUGGCAUCUCAGGGUCCUCGCAAAGCACCUACGUUUAAUAGCGGAUGCGCAGCCAUUGUCAGGAUGAGGUCUUAAUGAAGCUUAAUAGGAGGAGACUGUUACUAAAUAGGAGACUGAAUUUAUUCAGAGCAAAUAAAAGUUUGGUUUUAAGAAGUAUAAUUAAUUCAGCUAAUUGAAUUUAUUCCCACAUAAUUACUAGCAGGAAUUUCUAACAUCCUAUAACCUGUUGUGAGACUGAGAGAAAAUAUUUUUUUGAUGAUAUAUAGAAGCCCUUCAGUCUCAAGUUUGACCCAAGUAUAGCACUCAGAAUGCCUGAUCUGUCUUUAAGGAUUUUGUUAUUAUUCCUCUUCAUUGCUAUAGGCUGCACUGUGCUGCAGUAGGGGUGUGUUUUCUGAAAUAGAUAUUCAAAAAAGAAACCAUAUUGGGAUACACAGUACAAGCACUGAGCACUUUUCCAAAAGGAUAGACAAAGAAGUCAAGAGAAGUGUAUUUAUGUUCUCUUCAAAGCACCACGUCCGCAUCAGGUGAAUGAAAGAAAAAGAGUGGUGCAGCAGGAUCAGUAACAGAUCGGGAUUUUGGCUGUGUGAAUGCUAUUAUUUUUCUUAUCAAGAUCACACUGUUUUCCUCCUGAGCCCUGAGCAUCUGCACUGGCUGUCUUCUCAGGCUCUCCCCUUCCAAGAGUCGGCUCAGCUCUGGGCGCGUGGGUCAGAUGCAAGCUGAGGAGAUACAGCCAGAAGGACUUUAUCAGAAGCUCACCGUGUGGCACCGAGUGCUUCAGCUCUCCUCUGUCUUGACCCUUCUCCUGCUUCCUUCUCUCGGGUAUCUAGGCAAACGGGGAAUUCAGAGAGCUACCCCAAAACUUCUUGAGAAUGUAUAUGUUAAGCACGAAAUCAAAACAAGACUAGAAGCUAGAACUGGAAAGUGACAGAAAAUCAGAUGAUCCCUUCUGAAUAAUAUCUUGGCGCUGGCAUAACUGCAACAUGUAUUGCUGAGCUGUGUUUUUCCUGCUGCAAUCCCACAAGCUGGAGGGAAAGCAACUCACUAACAAAAGUUUCCUGUCACUAUUGUAUGUCCUCUUUUCUUUGGAAAGAUAGUAUUAAUAGAGAGGGAUGCUUGAUUUCUUGUUUCUGACACUUCACCAGCCCCAGGAGGUUUUUUUCCCAGUGGUGAAGGUGUUACAUUUCUAUGAAUCCCCUCUCCUUCAUUUUUCUAUCAUCCUCUGAAUGCCUAGCUCUCAAGCAGCACACCAAACCAACGUAUUUCCAGCCUAGAGGAUUAAAAGAGGAUGUGUAUUUUUCCAUUCAACCUGAAUUUUGAGCAUAACCUCGAGGACUAUGUGCGGGACUGCAAGUGCAUCCUCAUGCACGCUUGGCUGUAUCUCCUGGUACCCAAGGACAUACCCCGAGUACGCCGGACAGGCGGGCUGCAGCGGUGCGGUGCUGGCACAGCGCACUCGCUACUGCCUCCAAACCCCUCGCUCAGAAAAGCGUAGUCUGCAAGAUCCCUUCAUAGCCCAGAAAAUGCAGCUCGCUCAUGAUUAAAAGUAUGUAGCCAGACAUGGCGUGUAAACAGCAAGAUCUCCAGAAAUCUAGACUUUCUAGGCUCAGUUUCAUUUGCAGGUUCUGUAAAAACAAUCUGAACGGUUAUGUCCAAUGGCUACUCUAUCUUUUAUGCAAUAUAGGACACAGCAAUUGAGAAUAAAAGGAAGGAAACAAAGCCUACCUUUUCUAGGAAAAAUCUAAACAAAUCCUUAUUUGCAAAUAACUUCACCCAAUGGUAUUCUGGGGGCUAGAAAGGAACACAACAGAACAGAAAGCAACAACUGUGACAAUUGUUUGCCAUAAUCUUGCAAAAAAGGUGUUAGAAGGAGAAUCUCAUUACAAAAAGGUAAAAGGUGGACAUAAGAUUGAUUUUUUGGAGUUCAGUUCACUGUCAACAUAGCAUGGGAGUUUCGCCAAAAACAAAACGAAACCCACUGGCUCAAGACCUGGGCAGGAUCUCUCGGACUCCAGAGAGCUGACCCACGUGUCUGCGACCGGGUUCAUGAUGACAAGGUGCCUCACUCCUGGCCCUCUGACCAGAAGUCCACAUUGCCCAGAGGACUGCAGGCUAUUGUGGGCUAUUCUGGGAUGGAUUUUUCAUAGUUGUUUGCAUCCGGCAAGGACAAGUCUUUCUAGUUUCCUAAUUGCUAAGUAUCUUUUAAACGCUUUUCCACUAGCAGCUCCUGACACUGGGAACUACUAGGAAUCAUCAAAAGCUUUUGUCAAAAUGGGGAGAAGGAGGACAAUAAAAGACAAUAUGGUUAAACAUAUACAUAGUUAUACAAGCAAGGCCCUUGAAAUCAAACAAAUCAAAAAAAAACCCACACGAACAAUACUGUAAUUGUAUAAUCCCCCCCAGAUGUAAAACUGGCCCUCAGCUGUUCAAGUCAGUAAACAGGCUCUCAAGAUCAAGUCACUGAAAGCAAAGACUAGUGCAGUUAUAUGUUUAAAAGAAUUGAAAUAUGCUUAAAUAAUGGAUGUUCCAUCUUGUGUACUGCACUCGAUCAGCAUAUUUUUCCUCUUUAUCACUUGCAGAAAGCCUGACUGCUGUCUCUUGAGAGGCAAAUAAUUUAGACUGCAUCUAGAAGAGCUGAGAUCUAAGAUAAAUAGCUGUCAUUAGUGUGAUAGAGCCUGAGACAGCAUGGCACAUAAGAGUCGGGGAGCUUCUUGAUCACAGUCUGAUUAUUAGUUUGGAGACUCAUUCUAUCUGUGUUAGCGUAAGAACAAAUUUCUAUAAAUAUGUGGUAGAAAGGGUGUAAUUUGUUCUUCAUAUAAUACCUGUUUUAUGCUCUAGUGGAGCCAACUGAGUCACUGAAGUAUCAAUGCACUGUUACAGUGCUGUUUUUAAAAAGUAUUUCCACAGAAUCUGAAAUUGUGUGUGCCUGUAAUUAUUUUAUCAUCAAAAUUUGUAAGUGACUAUUAAUACCCUGCUUCUUGCAAA